rnacentral:rRNA from 1 species
ACUCAAAUGAAUUGACGGGGGCCUGCACAAGCGGUGGAGUAUGUGGCUCAAUUCGAUGCAACGCGAAGAACCUUACCUGGCCUUGACAUGUAUGUGGUAGAAGGAUGAAAGUCUGACGACCUCGCAAGAGGAGCAUACACAGGUGCUGCAUGGCUGUCGUCAGCUCGUGUCGUGAGAUGUUGGGUUAAGUCCCGCAACGAGCGCAACCCUUGUGUCCUGUUGCUACCUCGACGAGAGUCGAGGGCACUCUGGACAGACUGCCUCGCUUAAACGAGGAGGAAGGUGGGGAUGACGUCAAGUCAGUAUGGCCCUUACGGCCAGGGCUGCACACGUACUACAAUGCCCGGCACAAAGGGAAGCAAGACCGUCAGGUGGCGCAAAUCCCCAAAAACCGGGCCCAGUUCAGAUCGUCGUCUGCAACUCGACGGCGUGAAGUUGGAAUCGCUAGUAAUGGCGCAUCAGCUACGGCGCCGUGAAUACGUUCCCAGGCCUUGUACACACCGCCCGU